rnacentral:rRNA from 1 species
UACGGAGGGUGCAAGCGUUAAUCGGAAUUACUGGGCGUAAAGGGCGCGUAGGUGGUUAUUUAAGUUGCCUGUGAAAUUCCUGGGCUUAACCUAGGGUGGUCAGGCAAUACUGGGUAACUAGAGUACGAGAGAGGGUAGUGGAAUUUCAGGUGUAGCGGUGAAAUGCGUAGAUAUCUGAAGGAACACCAGUGGCGAAGGCGACUACCUGGCUCGAUACUGACACUGAGGCGCGAAAGCGUGGGGAGCAAACAGG